ACAAAUUACAUUCACACAAAAUUCUAUGUUGCAAAAAUAUAUGAAAUUGGCCAUAAUCCAUAGCAGCCAGUGUGCACAGGAUGGAUACAUAUCACACUGAACAGAAAUGAAAAUCUGGACAGCAGCUAGGAAAUUUUGUGAUAAAGAACAGAACAGAAAUGAAAAUCUGGACAGCUAGGAAAUCAGUAGCUAACAGCUAGGAAAUUACAACAGGGAUGAUAUUCUGCUCAAACUUGGAUGAUGUUUUUCAACAGAAACAUUCUGCUCAAUCUGGACAGCAGCUUACAACAAUAACAAUAGAGUCGGCUAAUCAAUUCUCAAAGGCAAGUCCGAAUAUUCUGAAAUAAAUAAAAUAGUUCACAUAUUAGGGGUUAAACAAUACAAAAUAUUAAAAGACUAUUCUUUAAGAAGUGAAUAUAUAAAUUACCUUCUUCAACUUUCUGGAUGUCUUCCAAAUUGUCUUGAAACUUGUAUUCUUUGGUAGGUGAUCGUAUCCAUUGUUGAGUGCAAAAUAAGGGCUUCUACUGUUUUU
rnacentral:lncRNA from 1 species